UUCAAACUUUAGUGCAAGGCAAGCAAAUGAUACCACAGGUCCAAGUUGGUGCUCAGCCCUGCCGUGGGGCCUGGCUCAGAAUGAGCACAGGGCAGCAGCACACACACAUGUACACACACAUACAUACACACACAAGACCGAUUAUUGCUAGGAACACAGCUGGGACACAUAUGCACAAGACAGGACAUGACACAGAGGACAGAGGCAGGAGAGCCAGGCUGAGCUCCCUGGGGACACAGAGGGCCCCCUUGGAGGCUCAGGCCCCUAUACCACUGCCCUGCCCUCAGGCACAGCUCUGCUGAAUCCUGUGGGCUGGCCUUGCUCCCACUUGGUCAUAGCCCUGGGCAAGGAACAGUCUCUCUGUCACAGUUUUGCACCUCAGGAGCACAGUCAUCAAAACCAAGCCAGGACUGGGGCCUGCCUGCAUCCCCAGCAAGCCAGCCAAGCUGGUGGAACUGUGCUGGGGCAAUCCUGCAGCACACAGGGUCAGGGCUAUCCCACAGGUCCAGCUUCCAGCCAGGUCCUGGGGGAGUGGUUGUGCUGCAGGCAGGCUGCCAGCAGGCUGAAGAGGCCAGGAUCAGUGCCCAGGAGCUGGCAGCAUGUGUGAGACAAGGCAGGAGAAAGCAGGCUCCGGCAGGCAGGGAAUCAGGGAUGAGGCAGUGAUGCUCUGCUGCCAGGAUGCAAAGGGAGAUGCUUUGGCAUAGCAUUCUCCUGUGCCUCAGGGCUGAGCAAUGGACUCCUCUGGAGCCAGGGACGCCUCAGCAGGGCCAGAAAGGUCCAGUGCCACUUCGACACCAUGGAAUGUGUCAACAGAGCUGCUCCAGCUUGACCUUGGCCCACGCCAGCACAAUCCCUCCCUCCUGCCCUUGGCCCCAGAGGGGAGUGGCAGCCGGUGGGCAGAAGCAGCAGCACCAUCCCCAGCAGCACUCAAAAGCAUCCAGUUCUGUCCUGGGGACGAUGGCUCACCCACAGCCAGAGGUGCCACGUGCUGCUGCCAGCGCUGGAGCCAUCCUCAGAGUCUUCAGAAAAAGACAUGUAAAGUUGUAAACAAAUCCACCUCGUGAGGCCACUGCUACCUUGUCCUUCAGGCUAGGCUGUUGUUGUUCUGGGCACCCGGAGAGGCAAGAGGGUCCCAGGGGCUGGAGAACAGGCUGUGCUCUACAGCCGGGUGGGCUCUUCCUCACUGUCGCUGCAGUUCCCACAACAGUCCUGAAGUCAGAGGGGCAACGAGAGGGAGGGAGAGAGGAGCACAGCAAGCAGAGGGUAAGCACAGUCACACAACCUGAUCUACAGCUGCCUUCUGGCAGAGAAAGAAAGCUGCACCUUGGGGCUCAGCUCCUAGCAGACAUACUUGUGAGUGCAUAGCUGACUGGCUCAGAAGCUGGGAGGAAGAUGGGCUCCAUAGACUACAGCCAACCAGGGAGACAGCUCAGUGCCAGCGCAUACAAUCUGCCCCUCUCGGGACUCAUCAGGUCACAGAAAGCAGCUGAAGCCCUGGGGAGGGAGCUUGAGCAUGGGACAAUGCCAAACUCUUCACAGUGUCUCAACUCUUCUGUGUAUCCAGGACAUCCAAAGAGAGGAGAGAAGGGAACCCUGGCCUUCUUGCAGCCCCCUGGGAGCAGAGCUCCCAACUGCAGCAGUAUAGGGGCAGCUUUGGCUCAAGCUGAGGGUAAAGCUUCCCCCACGGUGGGGAAGGCAGCAAGAGCAGGGAGCAGGAUUAGUGGCUCAAGGGGCAGUUAGAACAAACAGCUUGUGCUCUGCUGGGGGAAAGGGUUAGGCACUGAAGGACAACACUCCUCUUCCCCAGAUCUUGCCAUGUCCGUGGGCCACCAGGUAUUUCCCUGAGCAGAGCAGCCAGGAGAGACUGCUCACCUCUGGAAAGAGAAAAUGUGGCAAAUCACAGCUCAAUCCCUGCCCUAGGCAGCCCAUCCUUGGACAGGUCUUGCCUGCCUACAGAAGAGCUGUGUCUCCCAGCAAGCUGAACAGUUAAGCACAAAUGGGAACUUGAUGGGGAAGUCAGAGUCAGCAUUGGGUGACUGGGAGUGGGUCCAGAGCAGGCCAGAGCCAACUGUGCUCAAGUGCCACAGCUGCUAGCAGCUGUUGAGGCAGCAGCUCAGACUUUGCCAGUCCUGGAAAGAAGGCAAAUACUGUUCUGGCCCAGAGAAGACAUACAGGCAGGCAAGCCCACAGCAGAUGCAUGACGUUUCUGUUCUCCUCAUCCCUAGAAAGCAUUGCUCUCUCUGUCUGCUCAAGGCCUAGUAGAAAUGUUCCAGGGAUCCCAGGAGCGCAUAUAGACCACAGCAAGAUGAAGGUCUUCUUCAGGGAUGGUAUUAUUCAUGUAGGAAGGGAGAAGACUUGCUAUUUUAGUGCCGUCAGCAGCAUCGCUCUCUGUGCAACUGCAGCAUGUUUAGCCAGGACACUCCAUACCAGCCCCCUCAACAUGCAGCAAUGUGAAUGUCAGCCAGGCAAGGGUUGGUUCCUUGCAGCCUUGCAUGGGACCUCCCAAGAGCCCUGGGAUUCAGCCCAGCACGGGGGCUCAUAUCUGCUGCCACUAUAUAUAUGCCCACCUUCCUGACAGUUCUGCAUCGGUGAGAGAAGGCUCAAGGCCGUGCAAGAAAUACUGGGCAAGCACUCUUACCUGUCUGCUGAAGAAGCGCUGGAGUAACCCUUUCUUGGGCUGUGGUGAAGGCUGCCCUUUCCAGUCCAGGUCUGGGGGCACUGUGCCAUCUGUGCUAAACACAUUCAGCUCCUUGAAGCAGUCUGUCUCUAUCAUCUGGAAGAGGGCAAAAAUGGCUGCAGCAACUGCCACGCAAAGCCUGUCACCAAGGGCCCAGCAGAGCACAAGGGCAGCAGCGACAG
rnacentral:lncRNA from 1 species